GUGGUCGCUUUGGCAGCACACAUACUAACAUUGGAACGACACAGAGAAGAUUAGCAUGGCCCCUGCGAGAGGAUGACACGCAAAUCCGUGAAGCGGUCCAUAUUAAA
ensembl:snRNA LOC120103195 U6 spliceosomal RNA